rnacentral:pre_miRNA from 11 species
UUUGUAUUUUCUGUGUUUUCUCCCCCUAAACUCUAUAUCUAUCUAUAUGUCCCUGAUAUAGAUAGAUAUAGAGUUUACGGGGAGAAAGCACAGAAAAUACAAA